rnacentral:tRNA from 1 species
AAUUAAUUGGCUGAACGACCAAGCUUGUAUCUUGAAAAUACAUAAAAAAGGUUUAACUCCUUUAUUAAUUU